rnacentral:rRNA from 1 species
GUGCCAGCAGCCGCGGUAAUACGUAGGGUGCGAGCGUUGUCCGGAUUUAUUGGGCGUAAAGGGCUCGUAGGUGGUUGAUCGCGUCGGAAGUGUAAUCUUGGGGCUUAACCCUGAGCGUGCUUUCGAUACGGGUUGACUUGAGGAAGGUAGGGGAGAAUGGAAUUCCUGGUGGAGCGGUGGAAUGCGCAGAUAUCAGGAGGAACACCAGUGGCGAAGGCGGUUCUCUGGGCCUUUCCUGACGCUGAGGAGCGAAAGCGUGGGGAGCGAACAGGCUUAGAUACCCUGGUAGUCCACGCUGUAAACGGUGGGUACUAGGUGUGGGGUCCAUUCCACGGGUUCCGUGCCGUAGCUAACGCUUUAAGUACCCCGCCUGGGGAGUACGGCCGCAAGGCUAAAACUCAAAGGAAUUGACGGGGCCCCGCACAAGCGGCGGAGCAUGCGGAUUAAUUCGAUGCAACGCGUAGAACCUUACCUGGGUUUGACAUGGAUCGGGAGUGCUCAGAGAUGGGUGUGCCUCUUUUGGGGUCGGUUCACAGGUGGUGCAUGGCUGUCGUCAGCUCGUGUCGUGAGAUGUUGGGUUAAGUCCCGCAACGAGCGCAACCCUUGUUCACUGUUGCCAGCACGUUAUGGUGGGGACUCAGUGGAGACCGCCGGGGUCAACUCGGAGGAAGGUGGGGAUGACGUCAAGUCAUCAUGCCCCUUAUGUCCAGGGCUUCACGCAUGCUACAAUGGCUGGUACAGAGAGUGGCGAGCCUGUGAGGGUGAGCGAAUCUCGGAAAGCCGGUCUCAGUUCGGAUUGGGGUCUGCAACUCGACCUCAUGAAGUCGGAGUCGCUAGUAAUCGCAGAUCAGCAACGCUGCGGUGAAUACGUUCCCGGGGCUUGUACACACCGCCCGUG